rnacentral:tmRNA from 1 species
CCCUUGUGAAAAGGGGGUCAUUUGCCCUAUAUAGGGGCUGUUGGGGCAACCCGACUACGGCGCUAAACUGCGUGACAGAAUAGGCUUUACGGACCCGGGGGCGGUACCCGGCGGCUCCACCAAAAUUAUCGGUUGUCCGACUCAGACAAUCUUCGUGGGGCCGAAAUAGGAUCGACGUGAGCAGUAAAAGUCAAUGUGGGCGCUCGGCAUGGUACCACCGCAUCGGGCCAAUGUUUGUAAAUGCAAACGACAACAAUGCUCCGGUUGCUGUUGCCGCCUAAGCGGUACUAGCACCAAAGCGAAAUUCCGAUUGCCGGGAGCGGUAAUUUGGUGGGGGACGGGGCACCUAGCAACAGAACGCCCCACU